rnacentral:rRNA from 1 species
UACGUAGGGUGCGAGCGUUGUCCGGAAUUAUUGGGCGUAAAGAGCUUGUAGGCGGUUUGUCGCGUCUGCCGUGAAAUUUCGAGGCUCAACCUCGAACUUGCGGUGGGUACGGGCAGACUAGAGUGUGGUAGGGGGAGACUGGAAUUCCUGGUGUAGCGGUGAAAUGCGCAGAUAUCAGGAGGAACACCGAUGGCGAAGGGCAGGUCUCUGGGCCACUACUGACGCUGAGAAGCGAAAGCAUGGGGAGCGAACAGG